AACAAAAUAAAAUCCUUGAUCUUCUGAAGAUGUGAAUCCAAACUAUUUAUUGUUUGAUCUGAUCUUGUCUGAAUUCCGACAGAUGCUUUCAGUUUCUCUCUUACCAAAUCUGAAGAUUGAAAGGUUCUUGCUUAGCCCACAAGUUACAACAAGAAUCAAAAACAUCAAUCAAUUAAUCAUACUUUUCUCUCCAUGAAUAAACAAGAAAGAAAACCCAAGAGAUCCCUAAAGCUAUAUCUCCAAGAGCUUGCUUAGGCCAUUCAUAAGCAAGAUCCGGAACACGCCCUCUCUUGUGCUUGUAAACCACUCAUCCUGCAAUCACAUUCUCACAAUGUUACGCCAUGAAAAUUCCAAAAAGACACAGUCAACAAUAACCAAAGAGUAAACGAAACAUUUAAACAAGGUAACAUAGGUUAAGCUUAUCAGGGUAGAUCAGUACACGUGAAACAUUAAACAUUUGAAAAAUAAAUCCAAUAUACAGUAAAACACUAAUCAACUGAAAAGGUCUUCUAACAUAGCUUAUUUUUGUUACUGGUUACACCAAGUAGUUUUAAACCUCACAGAACCUUGAUUAACAACUAAACCAAUUGAAAUGGUCUCCUAAGUUAAAAUCAAGUUACUCUGAAAAUUGUUAAUAUCAACAAUGCAAUAUCAUCAAAAGUUAACUAACUUGGUUCAAGCAAGUAACUAAGCCAGAUAAGGGUCGACAGCAGAUGGGGAUAAAGCUUCACGACUGCCUAAUAAAGAAUCAAUCUUUGUCGGUGAUUGAUAGAUUCAGUAAUCCGGAGCAUCGAUAAAUCAAAUCAGGCAAAACCCUUUAAAGACAUUGGUCGGAACUUAAAACCCAGAGUCUCAAAUUACGAAAUCUCAUUACUCAUAUGAAUAAAAAUUCAGAAACAAAUUUAACUAAAACUCUAAUUCUAUUAAACGAACGAACGAGCAAGCAGGCGAACAAACAAUCAUCGGUAGAAAAAUGGAAGCCUUUUUUCUAAAAUUCAAUCGCACCGUCUUUGAAUAUGAUCUUAGAAUUGGAGAAAAAAAACAGAUCAAGACAAGAAGCUUCGGAGAUUAAUAAACAACUGACCUUUGAUCGGCUUAAAGGAGGAGGAGUCGAGCAGCGGAGAACCAGAGAGAAUCUUCGGGAGAAAAAGAAGAAAUGAGAACUGUAAUUAGAAGCUUUACCAGAAGUACAGUUAAAAAUAAUUUAAUAUAUACCCAAUAAUUUAAUAGUUAAUGGGCCCUAAAUGGGCUAUUCAAGCCAGUAUAGUUUUUUUUUCCACAAAAGACAACAUGAGUCUACUAAUUUUAUUGACAAUCAAAGAAAGAAUCAACAAGGGAUUGAUUCGUGAGUAUUUUACAAGUGGUGUAAAGUUUUCCACAGCCUAAAUAAUAUAAUAUUUAAAGCACAAUUUUUUUCCAAUGAUGAUUUUUAAUGAUUUUUAAAGCUAUAAUUUUUUUUCUUUUCUAUGGCUGUUCGAAAUUAAAAUUGCUGAAACACUUAUAUUUGGGUUUAGAAAAUUUAUAUGUAUAUCACUAAAAAGUUUCAAAUCUAAAACUGAAAUCUUACUGCAAAAAUAUUUAUAGUCACUUCAAAACAUAUAUAUAUAAUAGAAACUCUAUAAAUUAAUACAUAAUGAAUUAAUAAAAUAAAUUUAUUAAUAACUUUUGUCGGUUCUAGGUUAAAUAAAUUUAACAUAUGACGCAAAUUGAUAAAAUAAUAAGAUAAUAAUUUUAGAAGAUUACAUAUGUAUAUAAUCUCAUUAUAAUCAUAAAUUAAUUCAUUAUAUAUGUAGUUUAUAUAAAGAUAAUAAUAUAUUGUAUUGUUUGUUUUAUAUUUACAGUGAAAUAUAUUUCUAUUUUUCUUAAGAUUUCAUAAUAUAUGGAUGAUAAUUAAUAAAUACAUAUCAAACAUUUUAAUUAUAGGUUACAUAUUUCAUAAACUUUAAACAAUAAAAAUUAUUAAAGUUAAAUUCAUAAAAAAAUGAAUAUAUAAACAGUGAAAUCAAAUAUUUUUCUUGUUUCAUAAAAACAUAUAUUCUAAGAUAUAUAAAUCUAGAAAAUGAUUUUUAUAAAUUAAUAAAAUAUUAAAAAUUUGUUUGAAAUACACUAACUUAUUACUAUUCUCAAAAAUACACUUAAUAAAAAAUACUCUAAUAUUUGAGUUUACGGUUUAAUGAUUAUUUUUAGUAUUUAUGGGGUAAGGUUAGAUUUAUAAAAUUUUAUAAAUAAUUUUAAACAUCUAUAAAUGAUUUAGGAGAUUUAAUUUUAUCCUUUUCAUAAUAAAUUUAAAGUAUUUAUGAAAAUAAUUAGAGAAAUUGCCUAAGAUAUUAUUUUUUAAGUUUUUGUCACAAAAAUAGCUAUCAAUGAGAAAAAUGACUAAAAGAAGUUUUACUAGAAGGUAAAAGUAUAUUUUUACCCUAGGGUUAACUAAUCUAGAUUUAAUAUUUAGAGUUAAUCGGUGGAGUUUUUUUUUAGAAGGUUUGUUAAAAAAAAAAAGAGAUGGGGUUUUAGGGAUAAGAUUUCAAAUUUUAAAAAAAAAAAAUAGUAAAAAUUUCAAAAUACAAAGGGAUUAUUUUUUUCAUUUUCUUUUUUGAUAACUAUUUUUUGUGACAAAAACUUAAAAUAGCUAUUUGAGAGAAUUGUCCAAAUAAUUAUCAUUUAAAUAUAAAUUUGAAAAAUGAUAUAAAAUUUGAAUUAAAAUUAGAAUUUUCUUAAAAUAUUACAGUUUCAAUAAUAUUAAUUUAUAGAGAUUUUACUGUGGUUUUAAUUCUACGUCACUGAAUAUAAAGCGGUUCAUUCAAAUCAAAUCAGACCCAAAAUCAUAUGAUCCUACUGAAUUCAAUUAUUACAUUAUUAGUGGCUGAAAAUGGGCUACACCGGACCCAUAACCAUAUAUUUACGUUUUUUACAAAUUGACAAGAGGAUAAUAAGAUAGAAUGUAAUUUUCAGCUUUUUCAUUAUUAAUUAAUCAAAAAUCAGAAUCUCAGAUUCUCUUUUCACAAUGAGUUUGGAUUUGAUUCAGCAAAAUAUAGAGGAUCUACAUAGCAAUAAUUAAAGACCAAACAAAAUAAAAUCCUUGAUCUUCUGAAGAUGUGAAUCCAAACUAUUUAUUGUUUGAUCUGAUCUUGUCUGAAUUCCGACAGAUGCUUUCAGUUUCUCUCUUACCAAAUCUGAAGAUUGAAAGGUUCUUGCUUAGCCCACAAGUUACAACAAGAAUCAAAAACAUCAAUCAAUUAAUCAUACUUUUCUCUCCAUGAAUAAACAAGAAAGAAAACCCAAGAGAUCCCUAAAGCUAUAUCUCCAAGAGCUUGCUUAGGCCAUUCAUAAGCAA
rnacentral:lncRNA from 1 species